UACGAAGGGGGCUAGCGUUGCUCGGAAUUACUGGGCGUAAAGCGCACGUAGGCGGCUCUUUAAGUCGGGGGUGAAAUCCUGGAGCUCAACUCCAGAACUGCCUUCGAUACUGAAGAGCUUGAGUCCGGGAGAGGUGAGUGGAACUGCGAGUGUAGAGGUGAAAUUCGUAGAUAUUCGCAAGAACACCGGUGGCGAAGGCGGCCCACUGGAUCGGUACUGACGCUGAGGUGCGAAAGCGUGGGGAGCAAACAGG
rnacentral:rRNA from 1 species